GAUGAACGCUGGCGGCGUGCCUAAUACAUGCAAGUCGAGCGAAUGGAUUAAGAGCUUGCUCUUAUGAAGUUAGCGGCGGACGGGUGAGUAACACGUGGGUAACCUGCCCAUAAGACUGGGAUAACUCCGGGAAACCGGGGCUAAUACCGGAUAACAUUUUGAACCGCAUGGUUCGAAAUUGAAAGGCGGCUUCGGCUGUCACUUAUGGAUGGACCCGCGUCGCAUUAGCUAGUUGGUGAGGUAACGGCUCACCAAGGCAACGAUGCGUAGCCGACCUGAGAGGGUGAUCGGCCACACUGGGACUGAGACACGGCCCAGACUCCUACGGGAGGCAGCAGUAGGGAAUCUUCCGCAAUGGACGAAAGUCUGACGGAGCAACGCCGCGUGAGUGAUGAAGGCUUUCGGGUCGUAAAACUCUGUUGUUAGGGAAGAACAAGUGCUAGUUGAAUAAGCUGGCACCUUGACGG
rnacentral:rRNA from 1 species